rnacentral:rRNA from 1 species
GAUCAACGCUGGCGGCGUGCCUAACACAUGCAAGUCGAGCGCGAAAGGGGGCGAACUCCCAAGUAGAGCGGCGAACGGGUGAGUAACGCGUGGGUAAGUCUACCUUCGAGUGGGGAACAACAGCGGGAAACUGCUGCUAAUACCGCAUGACAUCGCUGGGCUCUCGAGCCUGACGAUCAAAGCCGGGGACCGUAAGGCCUGGCGCUUGAAGAGGAGCCCGCGUCCGAUUAGCUAGUUGGCGGGGUAACGGCCCACCAAGGCUACGAUCGGUAGCCGGCCUGAGGAGGGCGGACGGCCACACUGGGACUGAGACACGGCCCAGACUCCUACGGGAGGCAGCAGUGGGGAAUUUUUCGCAAUGGGGGAAACCCUNACGAAGCAACGUCCGCGUGGGGAUGAAGGUCUUCGGAUUGU